CUCAGGUCAGCCAAAUCCCUCCCUCAGCUCUGCCAGCCAACAACACUGUGUUCCUGAGAGAGACGAGAACCUCUUACUAUUGAAAUAUAUGGGAGCACUUAGGACGAAUAAACAUUAAGAUAAGAUUUUUUCCAACCCCGGCAAGGACCUCACACCUGUGUAUGGAGAUGGUGCCGCCUCCGCAGUGCAUUGACAUGCAAACCAGAUCCCACUGGAGACAUGGAGAGAAGUAUCAAACCGAGGACUGACUGAUGAAUGACUAAGGUGCAAGCGAACCUCUGCAUUAACUCCUAAACACCGUAGCAUUAAGUAGAAAGCUGUCAAGGAGCAGUUUGGAAGAGGAAAGAAACAGCUAAAGAGGGAUAAUUAUAGAAUCUUGUGGCCCGACUCCAGAGAAAACAGGAUUUUGUUUGUCUUCUGUGCCCCUUUGAGAGGAAGGCAUUCGGGAUGUUUGGAAUAGGUCGGCGGACAGUGGGUUUUUAAACUCUCCUGCCUAAUCAAGUCGGAAAAGAUCAAAUACUCGGGACAGAAGGACAGCCUGCUCCUCGCCCACCAUUCCUCUGCAUAUCAAACACAGGAAGAGCACAAGAAGAAGAAAAUGUCAGGGGGCCAGAGACUCGUUUGAACCUAACUUCUGUAAUUAUCAAGGCUAAUUUAAGUUGCUUUUUUCCAGCGAUUGCCAGAAUGUAAAAUCAGAGUUUAGUGAGGCAAGAGAAAUGUUGAACUGAAUGUUACUUGUGUUGAUUUUCGUUCCUCAGAAAAUAGUCACAACUGAAAAUAAUAAUUAGAGCGAUGAUUAAUAAAUAUGAAUAAACUAAUUUA